AAGCUCCUCCCCCUCUCUCACUCCCCUGUAUACUGGACCUUGUGGAGCAGGCCCGCUGUGUGUAUACAGGCCCGGACACCACCAGUAUGGAAGACUUACCUGCCCAGUGCCCACUGCUCAUGCUGCCCUUUUAAAGAUAUCACGCUCUCUUCUUUACCACACACUGCCACCUGGCAUCAGGGACAGUUACACAUCUAUGCAUACAUAGAGACCAUCGACACAUUGAGGAUUAUUACCACUAUCUGCAGAUUACAUCAACAUUCAACAAUAAAAGUAUCUCUAUUGUUUAACCCUUUCAGCGCUGGGAUAUGUUUAUUUAAAUAUAUAUAUUUUUAUACACACACUCUACUGUAGAGACCCUGCUCAGGUUUCAGUUUGCGGCCCAAUUUCCUGCCACAGGGUGUGGAUUAAAGUUGCUCGUGAUGCGAUAGCUACACAGCACUUAGCAUGACUGGAAGCCAACAAUGAGUUAAGUGUAUGCAGAAGAGUCCUUGCUCAGCUACUACUUUUUACUGACAAGAAAAAUUCUUCUCAUUGGAGCAGGAAGCAGGAUUUUGGAGAUAACUGGAAAAUGAGUUCUGACUAGGCCUAAACUCCUCUCACAUGGGACCUAGCAGAGAUAUGAGACAAUCAGGUUCAAGUCCUCUAGCCUGUUCAGGACGUAGGGCGUAUGCAUACGCCCUGCAUCCCGAGUCCUUUAGGACGUAGGGCGUAUGGAUACGCCCGUGGGAAUUCCGGUCCCCACCGCUAGCCAGUUGGGGACCGGACUGGGAUGCCUGCUGAAAUCAUUCAGCAGGCAUCCCGGCACAUCGCCGAGGGGGGUCCUGAGACACCCCCAUGUUGGCGAUCGGAAAAAAUGACAUGUCAAUUCAGACAUGCGAUUUUCUCCUAUUUCGGGAUGAUCGGGUCUCUAGUGACCCCAUCACGCGGAAAAUAGGGAUGAUCAGAGCUGUCAGUGACAGCCCCGAUCAUCCUGAAGGAUAGGAGCGAGGUUUCAGCGCUGCAAUCUCCUCCUGUCCCCUGCCAUUAGUCAGAAAUGAAUUCUGACCAAUGGCAGUGCACGACAGGGGGUUGCCAUGGAAACCCCCCGCUCUGCCCACCCCUGGAUGUCGGGCAGAACAGGGGGAGAAGAUGGCGGCCUGUACCUGUGCAGAAGAUGCCGUGCGGA